rnacentral:rRNA from 1 species
AUUGAACGCUGGCGGCAGGCCUAACACAUGCAAGUCGAGCGAGCGGCGGACGGGUGAGUAAUGUAUGGGGACUGCCCGAUAGCGGGGGAUAACUACUGGAAACGGUAGCUAAUACCGCAUACUAUCGGAUAACCCAUAUGGGAUUAGCUAGUAGGUGCGGUAAUGGCUCACCUAGGCGACGAGCCCUAGCUGGUCUGCGAGGAUGAUCAGCAAAACGGGAACGGGGCAACGGCCAAGACUCUGACGGGGGCAGAAGGGGGGAAGAUUGUACAAUGGGCGCAAGCCGGAUGCAGACAGGCGGCGUGGAUGAAGAAGGCCUUAGGGUUGUAAGGUACGUUCAGUCGGGAGGCGUUACCGAAAGAAAAAGCACCGGCUAACUACGUGCCAGCAGCCGCGGUAAUAC